rnacentral:rRNA from 1 species
GACGAACCGAGCGAACGUUGUUCGGAAUCACUGGGCUUAAAGGGCGCGUAGGCGGGUGCUCAAGUCCGGGGUGAAAUCCUCCAGCUCAACUGGAGAACUGCCUCGGAUACUGGGUGCCUCGAGGGUGGUAGGGGUAUGCGGAACUAUCGGUGGAGCGGUGAAAUGCGUUGAUAUCGAUAGGAACUCCGGUGGCGAAGGCGGCAUACUGGACCACAUCUGACGCUGAGGAGCGAAAGCGUGGGGAGCGAACAGG